rnacentral:rRNA from 1 species
GUCCUUUUGAUUUUUAUAUAAGGUCUGACCUGCCCUAUGAAUAUUUAAAUGGCCGCGGUAUACUAACCGUGCAAAGGUAGCAUAGUCAUUUGUCUCUUAAUUGGAGGCUUGAAUGAAGGGUUGGACGAGAUAUAAGCUUUCUUUGUUAUAUUUUAUUGAAUUUGACUUUUGAGUUAAAAGGCUUAAUUUUUUUUAUAGGACGAGAAGACCCUAUAGAAUUUUAUAUAUUUGUAUAAUCGAUUUAUUUAUUUAUUAUUUAAUUUUUUGUUUAAAUAUAUUUUGUUGGGGCGAUGGGAAGAUUUUAAUAACUCUUUUUUUUUCUAAUCAUUGAUUUAUGUUUUAUUCUGAUCCUUUUUUAGAGAUUAUAAGAUUAAAUUACCUUAGGGAUAACAGCGUAAUUCUUUUGGAGAGUUCUUAUCGAUAAAAGAGUUUGCGA